UACGUAGGGACCAAGCGUUGUUCGGAUUUACUGGGCGUAAAGGGCGCGUAGGCGGCUUGACAAGUCACUUGUGAAAUCUCCGGGCUUAACUCGGAACGGCCAAGUGAAACUGUCAUGCUAGAGUGCAGAAGGGGCAAUCGGAAUUCCUGGUGUAGCGGUGAAAUGCGUAGAUAUCAGGAGGAACACCUGUGGUGUAGACAGCUUACUGGACCACAACUGACGCUGAGGCACGAAAGCGUGGGUAGCAAACAGG
rnacentral:rRNA from 1 species